rnacentral:lncRNA from 1 species
CCACCCCACCCCCUACCUCCAGACCUCCCCAACUCCUCGCCUCCCCACCUCGCUGCCUCUUGGCGUCAGCGAAGGCUCUGCUGCCUGCAGGGCAGAGAGGAGAGGGAGGAGGCCAGCGAGAGGGAGCCUCUGUCGGGGCGUGGGAGGAAAGCAAGAUAACGCAGGCGACCCGAGAAGGACGGUGAAUCUGACUGGCCAGACUGGGAAGUCCAGGCCUUCCAGAGGCUGGGGUUCAUCUAGAGACCUGCUGAGGAGGGGCCACACUCGCCUCUUUUGCUCGCAGCAAUCUAUUCUGCCAGGGGAUUCCCUGGAACACAAGAAUCCUGGGGCUCUAAGGGACCCUAAAGAGCGUCUGGUCCUGCUCCUUCCUUCAUCCGUGACGAAACUUGGGAUGGGAAGGCUGUUCAUGCUGGGUUUCCUCUGGGAGUGAGACCUCAAGACAACUGUGGCAGUUCCUGAUAGAAACACUAAAUAAACGAGGUCCUCUGUGGCAAGGGCUAACGCUUCCAGAAGCUUCUGAAUAGAUCAUUCUAUUUGACAAACAGUUAUAAAAUGCACACUAUUACCAAACACUGUGCUAGAUGGUGGUAAGAGAAGCAUGACUAGAAUGGAAUGUUAGGCUUUUUGAAGCUUAUAAAUAAGUGGGUGAAAUUGGUCAUGAUUAACUUUGACGUAUGAUAGUGGUGGUGAGUAAUCAGGCAGAGGUUUGCCCAGAGUGCUAUAGGAGCCAGCAGCUUGGAGAUCCAGGGAGGCUUCUUACAGGAAGUGACCCUUGGUGUGGGAAGGGUUUUCCAUAAAGGGAAGACAGCAUGAGCAAAAGCUCAGAGACAUUAAUCAGCACCGAUUGAAUCAUUCAUUCAUGUCUACAAUAAUCACCACUCACUAGGUGCAAAGUAAUGUACAGAAUCUAUGCAAGCCACAUCUAGCAUAGAUAAUAAGUUAUCAUUUCUAUAAUCAAGUUGAUUCCAAU